rnacentral:rRNA from 1 species
ACUCAAAGGAAUUGACGGGGACCCGCACAAGCGGUGGAGCGUGUUGCUUAAUUCGAUGUUAAGCGAAGAACCUUACCAGGGUUUGACUUCCUUGGAAUUACUGCGAAAGUAGUGAGUGCCUUCGGGAACCAAGUGACAGGUGUUGCAUGGCCGUCGUCAGCUCGUGUCGUGAGAUGUUUGGUUAAGUCCAUCAACGAGCGCAACCCUUAUGAAUAGUUGAAUUUUUCUAUUUAGACUGCCCCGGUAACGGGGAGGAAGGGGGGGAUGAUGUCAGGUCAGUAUUACCCUUAUACCCUGGGCUGCAAACGCGCUACAAUGGCCGGUACAAAGGGCAGCUAAGCCGCGAGGCGGAGCAAAUCCCAUCAAAGCCGGUCCCAGUUCGGAUUGCAGGCUGAAACUCGCCUGCAUGAAGUCGGAAUCGCUAGUAAUCGCAGGUCAGCACACUGCGGUGAAUACGUUCCCGGGUCUUGUACACACCGCCCGU